rnacentral:rRNA from 1 species
AUGGAGGCGACCGCGUUGAGCAUCGGCAAGUCGGUGCUGAGCGGGGCCCUUGGCCUCGCCAAGUCCGCCGUUGCGGAGGAGGUGGCCCUGCAGCUGGGUGUACAGCGCGACAAGGCCUUCGUCACUGACGAGCUGGAGAUGAUGCAAUCUUUCUUGAUGGUGGCGCAUGAUGAGCGAGGUGAGCACAACAAGGUGGUCAGGACCUGGGUGAAGCAGGUCCGCGACGUCGCCUAUGAUGUCGAGGAUUCGCUCCAGGAUUUUGUUGUUCGUGUGGACAAACAGUCUUGGUGGCGCAUCCCUCGCACGCUUCUCGAUCGUCGCCAUGUUGCCAAGCAGAUGAAGGAGCUGAGGACCAAGGUCGAGGACGUGAGCCAGAGGAACUUGCGCUAUGGCCUCAUCAAGGGCUCUAGCUCCACUCAGCUUGCUGCCGAUGCUGCCCCUGCCGCUGAUGCUGCCAUGUUCGGCGUUGAUGAAGCAAGGCAUGCCGCGAGGCAUCACCAAUCAAGAUCGGAUCUUGCCCAGCUGAUCAACAAGGUGGGUGAGAACCAAAUUGGAGUGAUCGGUGUAUGGGGAACAAGUAGCAGUGUUGGGCAUACCUCCAUCAUCUGGGAGGCCUACGAGAAUCCAAUUGUGAAACAAAAUUUUCAGUGCCGAGCAUGGGUGAGGGUGAUGCGCCCUUUCCAUCCAACAAAAUUUGUCCAAAGUAUGGUGAAACAGUUUCAAGCAGCAGUAGGGGUUGGUGUUCUGCUGGAGAGGGAAAGGAAGGGCCAAGAUUUGGCUCAGGCCUUCAAUGGAUAUGUCAAUGAGAAGCGGUACCUGAUUGUGCUUACUGACCUGUCUACAAUUGAAGAAUGGCACCAGAUCAAGACUUGCUUCCCAGAGAACAAACUGGGGAGCCGGAUCAUAGUAUCCACGGAACAUGUUGAAGUUGCAAGCCUGUGUCCAGGUCAACCAAGUACGGCGUCGGAGCUGAAGCAGUUGUCUGCUGAUCAGACUAUCUAUGCUUUCUACAAGCAGAGUUCUCAUGAAGUUAUAUAUCCAUCAAAGCCAGCAUCUAGCUCAAAGUUAUCCAACAUCCCUGAGAAUGAGAUACAAGAAGAUCAAUCCAAUGCUGAUGUUGAUGGAAAUAUGACAGUGCAAAAGAAGUUCACACGCACCUACACAAUGGCAGGUGUUCUGGAGGAAUUUCAGCUUAUUGGGCGAGAGAAAGAAAAAUAUGAUAUUAUUGCACUAAUUAAAGAACAAGCUAGCAUCCAUCAAUUUGAGGUGAUAGUAGUAUGGGGAAUGGGUGGUCUUGGAAAAACCACUCUGAUAAAAAAUGUUUUCCAGAGCAAAGAUGUCACUGGCAUGUUUGAGAAAUAUGCUUUUGUCACGGUCUUGCGACCUUUCAAGCUUGAGGAACUCCUUAGGAGCUUGGCAUUGCAACUAGAUGCAAACAAGGGAUCCAUGGACUUUGUAGGUGACACCCAAAAAAACAUUGGUUUGAUGGGAGUUGCAGACUUAAUUGAAGUGUUGGGCAGACAUUCAGAAGGAAAGAGUUGUUUGAUUGUUCUUGAUGACCUCUCAUCUAUUGCAGAAUGGAAUAAAAUAUUGCCAAGUUUACAUGCAAUAAAAAAUCUGGUCAUUGUGAUCACCACAAGGCGAGAGGAUAUUGCUAAGUAUUGUUGCAAAAAAUCAGAGUGCAUACGCUUGCUCAACGGUCUUGAAGAAAAGGAUGCAAGUCACCUGUUCACAAGAAAGGUAUUUAAGAAUAAAACUACAGAUUUGGCUGAGCAACAUCCUGCAUUGGUUGAACCAGCAAAACUAAUCCUGAAGAAGUGCAAGGGACUUCCCCUUGCGAUAGUCACCAUCGGUGGCUUCUUGGCUGAUCAACCAACAAAAACUGCUGCAGAGUGGAAGAAACUGAAUGAGCAUAUCAGUGUUGAGCUGGAGAUGAAUCCAAAGUUUGAGGUCAUAAAAACAGUUCUCAUGAAAAGUUAUGAUGGCCUACCCUAUUAUCUCAAGUCUUGUUUCUUGUACAUGUCCAUCUUCCCUGAAGACCGCAAUGUUAGCCGGAGACGUUUGGCUUAUCGAUGGAUCGCUGAAGGUUAUGCGCGAGACAAGGCCACAGCAGAUAGAUACUUCAUGGAACUCAUAGAGAGAAGCAUGAUAUUACCAACUCAGCAAUCAGUUUGCAGCAUACAAGGAUUCGACUCCUGCCAGCUGCACGAUCUGAUUCGUGAUAUCAGCAUUGCAGAGUCAAUGGAGGAAAAUCUUGUUUUCAGGUUGGAGGAAGGCUGCAGCUUGAACACCCAUGGCGCAGUGCGUCACCUUGCCAUAAGCAGCAACUGGGAGGGAGAUGAGCGUGAGUUGCAUAGCAUGGUGGAGCUGUCCGGUAUACGAUCAUUGACAGUGUUUAGCAAGUGGAAGCCAUUUUACAUUUCUGAUAAGAUGAGGUUUCUCCGAGUGCUGGACCUGGAAGGAACAAAAGGGUUAAAAAGUCAUCACCUUGAGCACAUUGGGGAGCUUCUUCAUCUGAGGUACCUCUCUCUACGAGGGUGUGAUGAAAUCUUUUACCUCCCCAAUUCAGUGGGUAAUCUAAGACAACUCGAGAUACUAGACAUCAAAGGGACGAGUAUAGCUAUGUUGCCCAGAACCAUCAUCAAGCUUAGGAAGCUAUGUUGUCUCCAUGCUGGUAACGAUUCCAGAGGGGACUACGAAGAAAAUUGUUUAACAAAGUGUCAAGACAUCUAUGUACAACAAUGUUUAUGCUGCUUAGGCAUUGGUGAUUUAGAUAGGAGUGAGGCUUGCUAUCUUGCUUGCUGCAUAUCGUGCCCUAAUAUCAUUAGGGGCAUAGCUGCUUCUGGUGUUAAGGUGCCAAGUGGGACCAGCAAACUGAAGGCCCUCCGUACACUGCGGUAUGUGCACCUUGCCUGGGGAAAUGAAGUUAUAAAAGAGAUAAAAGGUCUUACCAGCCUGCAGAAACUAGGAGUGGUCGGCAUCAACAAGAGAAAUGGUCCGGAUUUCUGUUCGGUCCUUUCCAGUCUCAGCCAUCUUGAAUCGUUGUCAGUGCGGUCAGACGAUAUCUUAAAUGUCUGUUUGGAUGGCAUGUCCACAGCCCCGGAAAACCUACAGAGCCUCAAGCUAUCUGGUAGCCUGGGAAAAUUGCCGGAAUGGAUCAAGGGGCUCCAGAAUCUCGUGAAGCUCAAGUUAGAACUCAGCAAGGUAUCCAGGAACCUUGAAGCCAUGCAAGUCCUUGGGAACCUACCAAACCUAUCCAUUCUGGGUUUGUGGGAUCGCAAUUUUAAGAUCGAUGUACUCCAGUUCCAAACUGGCCUUUUCAGAAGGCUCACGGUGCUUGAUCUUUUCUACACAGAUAUGGAAAUUAAAUUAGUGGAGUUUGAGAAAGAAUCAGUGCCCAAUCUUGAAUUGCUGACCCUUAGCCUUGGAGAUACUGAAAUUGCCUUCUCUGGUCUAGAACUUCUCCAAAGCAUCAAGGAAGUACGGCUUGGCGUCCAUCAUCCCUGGUUUACACCCAAAUUAUCAAAAAAUGGGGUACCCGGAAGAAUGAGGAAACGAAGGUAUGAACGGAUGAAAGAAGAAGAAAAGAGAAACAAACACGUGCAAGAUAAAUUCAGGGAGGAUUUGCAGGUGCAGCUUGAUAGGAAUAAGAAUCGGCCAGUCUUGAAGGUGCAAUGA